rnacentral:misc_RNA from 1 species
UAAAAAUCAAAUAUUUGAAAUGUGUGGCCUGAUGGAUGAAAUGAGAGAAAAAGGAAUUUCUCCAAGUGUUUACACUUACAAUAUCAUGAUAGGCUGUUUAUGUAAAUCUGGGAGAACUGAAAAAGCAAUUCCUCUUUUGAAUGAAAUGUUACAGAAAGGAAUUAUUCCUAAUACGAAUACCUUUGAGUUGCUUAUUAAAUCAUAUUGUAGGACUGGUGAGUUCAGACCAGCUCAAGAGGUAUUUGAUAUAGCUUCCACUAUAUGUG